rnacentral:rRNA from 1 species
CCUACGGGUGGCAGCAGUGAGGAAUAUUGGUCAAUGGUCGGGAGACUGAACCAGCCAAGCCGCGUGAGGGAUGAAGGUACAGAGUAUCGUAAACCUCUUUUGUCAGGGAACAAAGGCGGGGACGUGUCCCCGGAUGAGUGUACCUGAAGAAAAAGCAUCGGCUAACUCCGUACCAGCAGCCGGGGUAAUCCGGAGGAUGAGAGCGUUAUCCGGAUUUAUUGGGUUAAAAGGGGGCGCGGGAGGUUUGUUAAGUCAGAGUUCAAAGCCCGGGGCUCAACCCCGGCCCGCCGUUGAAACUGGCAGUCUCGAGUUGGAGAGAAGUAUGCGGAAUGCGCGGUGUAGCGGUGAAAUGCAUAGAUAUCGCGCAGAACUCCGAUUGCGAAGGCAGCAUGCCGGCUCCACACUGACGCUGAGGCACGAAAGCGUGGGUAUCGAACAGGAUUAGAUACCCGAGUAGUC